UACGUAGGGGGCAAGCGUUGUCCGGAUUUAUUGGGCGUAAAGAGCUCGUAGGCGGUCUGUCGCGUCGGCUGUGAAAACUGGAGGCUCAACCUCCAGCCUGCGGUGGGUACGGGCAGACUAGAGUGUGGUAGGGGAGACUGGAAUUCCUGGUGUAGCGGUGAAAUGCGCAGAUAUCAGGAGGAACACCGAUGGUGUAAACGCUUUCUGGACCAUAACUGACGCUGAGGCACGAAAAGCGUGGGUAGCAAACAGG
rnacentral:rRNA from 1 species